rnacentral:rRNA from 1 species
AGCGGCGGACGGGUGAGUAAUGCCUGGGAAAUUGCCCUGAUGUGAGGGAUAACCAUUGGAAACGAUGGCUAAUACCGCAUAAUAGCUUCGGCUCAAAGAGGGGGACCUUCGGGCCUCUCGCGUCAGGAUAUGCCCAGGUGGGAUUAGCUAGUUGGUGAGGUAAUGGCUCACCAAGGCGACGAUCUCUAGCUGGUCUGAGAGGAUGAUCAGCCACACUGGAACUGAGACACGGUCCAGACUCCUACGGGAGGCAGCAGUGGGGAAUAUUGCACAAUGGGCGCAAGCCUGAUGCAGCCAUGCCGCGUGUAUGAAGAAGGCCUUCGGGUUGUAAAGUACUUUCAGCAGUGAGGAAGGUGGGUAUGUUAAUAGCAUAUUCAUUUGACGUUAGCUGCAGAAGAAGCACCGGCUAACUCCGUGCCAGCAGCCGCGGUAAUACGGAGGGUGCGAGCGUUAAUCGGAAUUACUGGGCGUAAAGCGCAUGCAGGUGGUUUGUUAGGUCAGAUGUGAAAGCCCGGGGCUCAACCUCGGAAUUGCAUUUGAAACUGGCAAA